UAGGGAAUCUUCCACAGUGGGCGAAAGCCUGAUGGAGCAACGCCGCGUGUGUGAUGAAGGCUUUCGGUCGUAAAGCACUGUUGUAUGGGAAGAACAGCUAGAAUAGGAAAUGAUUUUAGUUUGACGGUACCAUACCAGAAAGGGACGGCUAAAUACGUGCCAG
rnacentral:rRNA from 1 species